rnacentral:rRNA from 1 species
UACGUAGGGUGCAAGCGUUGCUCGGAAUCACUGGGCGUAAAGGGUGCGUAGGCGGGUCUUUAAGUCAGGGGUGAAAUCCUGGAGCUCAACUCCAGAACUGCCUUUGAUACUGAAGAUCUUGAGUUCGGGAGAGGUGAGUGGAACUGCGAGUGUAGAGGUGAAAUUCGUAGAUAUUGGGAAGAACACCGGUGGCGAAGGCGGCGACCUGGUCCGAUACUGACGCUGAGGCGCGAAAGCGUGGGGAGCAAACAGG